CCCAUCCCGAACACGGAAGUUAAGCCCUCCAGCGCCGAUGGUACUAAGAGUUUCUUGGGAGAGUAGGUCACCGCCAGAA
rnacentral:rRNA from 1 species